rnacentral:rRNA from 1 species
CUGGCUCAGGAUGAACGCUAGCUACAGGCUUAACACGAUGCAAGUCGAGGGGCAGCAUGACGAUAGCUUGCUAUGUGAUGGCGACCGGCGCACGGGUGCGUAACACGUAUCCAAUCUACCCGGUACUCGGGGAUAGCCUUUCGAAAGAAAGAUUAAUACCCGAUACUGUUGGAUCUCCGCAGUGGCGGUCCAACCAAAGAUUUCAUCGGUGCCGGAUGAGGAUGCGUCUGAUUAGGUAGAUGGCGGGGUAACGGCCCACCAUGCCGACGAUCAGUAGGGGUUCUGAGAGGAAGGUCCCCCACAUUGGAACUGAGACACGGUCCAAACUCCUACGGGAGGCAGCAGUGAGGAAUAUUGGUCAAUGGACGCAAGUCUGAACCAGCCAAGUAGCGUGAAAGGAGGACGGCCCUACGGGUUGUAAACUUCUUUUGUACGGGAAUAAAGUGAGGCACGCGCUGCCUUUUUGCAUGUACCGUACGAAUAAGCAUCGGCUAAUUCCGUGCCAGCAGCAGC